AGAGAGACCAUGAUGGCGGCGGCGCUGGGGCCCCCAGAAGUGAUCGCUCAGCUGGAGAACGCGGCUAAAGUUCUGAUGGCACCACCUUCCAUGGUCAAUAAUGAACAACGCCAGCAUGCAGAGCACAUAUUCUUAUCAUUUAGGAAAUCAAAAUCACCAUUUGCAGUUUGCAAGCAUAUUUUGGGUAAGUAUUCACUUAAAAAAUAUAAAGUAUUUUGGCAUAAUCAGAUCUGGGUUUGCUGUCUUAAACAUUAGCUAUUUUAAAUUCCUUUUUAAAAACCUGGUUUGUAUAGUUACAAUUAUUUAAAUUAAUAAUCAUUCUACUGGAGUAGCUUUAAAGAUAUUCUGUAAAGCCAGACAGGAAACU
rnacentral:sRNA from 1 species